CCGGUACCACUGCUUCGGUCCCAAAGGAUAGGGGUCUCUCCAGUGGAUGUUCGACUCGUAGUCCGGUAGACCCACAGUAUACUAGGCAGCUCAUCUGCCCAUAGCCCCUUUGCCUUAUCUAAUCUAGUCUUGAGCCCUUUCAGUAUGGUGCGCUUGGUUACCUCAGCCUGACCAUUUUCUUGGUUGGGUGGUUGGGGAUGACCUACCGAGGUGAACCCGUGUUCAAUGCCAAGUUCUGCGCAGAAAUUUCUUCAUGAGCUGUUAUCAAAUUCAUUGUCGGUAACUAAGAUCCGCGGUACCUCGAAGCGGCACACAAUAGACUUCCAAACAAAGUUCUGGGCCUUCCUCUCCAUGAUCUUCUCUGCUUCUACCGACUUGGUAAAGUAAUCAAUUGCCAGAAUUCGAAACUUUCUCUGACCGGUGGCAAGAGGGAAAGGGCCUAUCAUAUCCAUCCCCCACUGUGCGAAGGGCCACGGACUUAGGAUAGGGCUAAGUGGGGCUGAUGGUUUAUGUUGGAGGUUGGCCUGCCUUUGAAAUUUUUCACACCGGAACGGAAGACAAGCGCUGUAGCAUCUUCCUGAUGACUCGGCCUGUAGUAGCCC